UAAUAAUUUAUAUAAAAUAUUUUGAAUAUUUAUAUAACAUUAACAUAAUUCAUAUUACUAUAUUUUUUAGUAUAUGAAAUUUUACUUUGAGAAAAUUAGAGUGCUUAAAGCAGGCAUAUGCCUUGAAUACUCCAGCAUGGAAUAAUAUUAAAGAUUUUUAUCUUUCUUAUUGGUUCUAAGAUAAGAAUAAUGAUUAAUAGGGACAGUUGGGGGCAUUUGUAUUUAACAGUCAGAGGUGAAAUUCUUAGAUUUGUUAAAGACAAACUAAUGCGAAAGCAUUUGCCAAGGAUGUUUUCAUUAAUCAAGAACGAAAGUUAGGGGAUCGAAGACGAUCAGAUACCGCCGUAGUCUUAACCAUAAACUAUGCCAACUAGAGAUUGGAGGUUGUUCCUUACUCCUUCAGCACCUUAA
rnacentral:rRNA from 1 species